UAAGAGGUCCCGCCUGCCCCGUGACAAUAGUUUAACGGCCGCGGUAUUCUAACCGUGCAAAGGUAGCGCAAUCACUUGUCUUUUAAUUGAAGACCUGUAUGAACGGCACAACGAGGGCUUAACUGUCUCCUCUUUUUAGUCAAUGAAAUUGAUCUCCCCGUGCAGAAGCGGGGCUACAAGCAUAAGACGAGAAGACCCCGUGGAGCUUAAGACAUAAAGCAACUUGUAGCCCUCAACCCAACAAAGGACUUGAACUAAACAACCCCUGCCCAACAGUCUUCGGUUGGGGCGACCGAGGGGUAUGACACAACCCCCACGCGGAAUAAAACACCAGUUUUACAACCACGAGCCACAGCUCUAAGCAACAGAAUUUCUGACCAAACAGAUCCGGCACUGCCGAUCAACGGACCAAGUUACCCCGGGGAUAACAGCGCAAUCCCCUUUCAGAGCCCCUAUCGACAAGGGGGUUUACGACCUCGAUGUUGGAUCAGGACAUCCUAAUGGUGCAGCCGCUAUUAAGGGUUCGUUUGUUCAACG
rnacentral:rRNA from 1 species